rnacentral:rRNA from 1 species
UACGUAGGGUGCAAGCGUUAAUCGGAAUUACUGGGCGUAAAGCGUGCGCAGGCGGUUUCGUAAGUCUGACGUGAAAUCCCCGGGCUCAACCUGGGAAUUGCGUUGGAGACUGCAAGGCUAGAAUCUGGCAGAGGGGGGUAGAAUUCCACGUGUAGCAGUGAAAUGCGUAGAGAUGUGGAGGAACACCGAUGGCGAAGGCAGCCCCCUGGGUCAAGAUUGACGCUCAUGCACGAAAGCGUGGGGAGCAAACAGG